UUAAGGGUCUGCCUUUGGCUCAGGUCAUGAUCCUGGGGUCCUGGGAUCAAGUCCUGUGUCAGGCUUCCUGCUCCUUGGGGAGACUGCUUUUCCCUCUGCCUCUCUCUCUCUUUCUCUCUCUCUCUCUGUCUCUCAUGAAUAAAUAAAUGAAAUCUUAAUUUUAAAAAAAGAGAGAAAUAGAGGAGGAAGACAGCCAAUGCCAAGAAAGCUCAACACUGAGGAAUCAGAAGAAUCGGUUACUGCACAAGAUGGGGCGGAGGUGGGAUUCAAGACAGGAGGCUAGGUUGAAGGCCUGGAGUUAGCACCCCCCACCCCGGCCAGGUGACUGCCCCCCUCCCCAUUCCAGGAAAGAACCCUUUAUUCUGAGAUUGAAUCAGAGAAAUAGGCAGGUGGAGGGGAAGAGGCACUGGUUUUUAAAUUUUUAUUGUUUUUGUUUGUUUUGUGUUUAUUUUAUGCAGAACUUACUUCCAGACCAUAAGUUUUUGUCUUUUCAGUUUCUUCUGGGAUAUCUUUUCCUGCUAUGCAACCUCCUCUUCUGGUUUAGGAACAACCUGCUCUCUUUCAGUGAGGAUCAUCUUGAUGCAGCAGGGAGAGCUCAUGUAAGGGUGAAUCUGACCUGGAGCCCUGUGAGACACCUGUGCCACCUUGAAAAGAUAUGGAAAGCGUCUGUCCCAAAAGAAGGCAGAGAGCAACAUAAGCCUGCAGAAGGAGGUGGGAUCUGUUCCGCAGUCUUUAUGGGAUGACCUCCGCCUUUUUCUUUUUUAUGCUGUGAAUAUAAUUUAUAAUGUGUGGCAUGUGAACGGUGUUGUGGAGCUGGCUGGAGAUGGGAAGAAUGUCCUUCUAGCUCCAUCAUGCUGUUCUCCAAGAGGAGGGGAUCAAGAUCCAUCUGGGCAGAGGCUGCAUUUCAGCUGGAGCCACAUUUACCGGUGGGCCAGGCCGUGAAACUCGGACAGGUUCCAUGCGGCUCAUCAGCCUCUUUCCUCUUUCCUGUUUCUGUGGGCCUGAGAUGUGUUGAUGCGACCCUAUCUUGC
rnacentral:lncRNA from 1 species